CGAAAAUAAAUCGCGCAGACUAUUCACCAAGUCGUCCAUUAGGAGUAGAGAUAUGUAACACAAAUCGAAAUAAAUUGGUGUCCCACCGAUUUUUAUUCAGUCACCAUUCCAUAUAUAAUGACUAUUUUUCCAUAUAGAACACGAAUCAUAUCGCAAUUCAAGAUCAGGUUGUACUCUUUCCGUGUAUGCAACCGAAACUCCACAUCGACAUGUUCAAUUUGUUGGUUCUGGGCGGGACAAUGGAUGAUCCCUGGAAAAGACGGAUCCCCUAGCAGCGAGCCAAAGUUUACCAUCCUAGGUGAAGCCAUCCCCAUCGACCCGUUCAAUUCGUUUGUUCUGGGCGGGCCGGGCGACGAUUUGUGGAAGCGACGAUCCUCUCCCUGCGAGCCAAAGUUUGCCAUGGGAGGUGAAACCACAGGUCAGCACCAUUGCCCUAUUCAUAUGAGUGGAAAAUCAAUGAUUAUGUACAGAUGAAACAAUGUGUAAUGGAUGGGACAUGACCCAACAUCUUUAGUCAAACUAGAAGAAACAAAAUAUGAAGUGAAGGACAUGACCCAGCGUAAGAUUUUUCUUCAAGUGUUUUUGCAAUAUCUCAAGUUCAGGGAUCUAUCAGUUGACAAGAGAUGCACAAAAAAAUAAAACAUGUCCAUUACAACCAAGCAAAAAGCAUUAGACGAUUCUGAAAAGGAGUCUGAAAUUUGAACGAAAAUCGCUUUAACUCAUUUUAGGGUCUGGGGAUCAUGAGAUAAUUAAGACCAUAAAAGCAUAUGUGCAUCCCUAGCGCUGCCCGAGUUAGUUUCAAGGUGGACACAUCAUCCUUUUCAGCAAUUUUAUCAUUUUUGCUAUCUUUAUCCCAUCCCAUGGCACCACCUACAGAAGAUAAGGUGUUGCAAAAUAAUUUAUUUGCGAGUAACAAAACAGACAUAUCAAAAGAGAAGAAAACCUAUGCAUGCGAAGCUUAACUGUAAGCAUUUCUUCUAUCUGAGCGCCAAAUGUAACCCCCUUAGCAUUGUAUACAUGCCAUGUACUAUGAAAGAACAGUAUGUACAUGUCAUAUAUUUUUGUUUGUGUCAUAGACUUCCAUUUCUCGGUAUGAUCAUAUCAUUCUCCCUAUAUGUCUUCCAAAGACAUCCAUAUGAACCUAUAUGUUGCAUAAGUGCAUAUCUACUUCUCAGUUUUAUAGAGAACAAAAAUUGGGUGGCCUGUGUUAUAAGAUUCAUGUAUAAUCAUUAAGGGAAAUGUCAAAAGGUAAAAAUCCCGUGAAUUGGGAAUAGGGAAAUUCAAGUACGUAGGAAAUAAUGACAUACCAAAAUGUAAAGAAUAGCACCACUGCAGCUACAAAAUCACAAUCCUUUGCUCCAAGAUCUGAACUAAAUUCGCCCUGAAAACAAUUAGUCAUGUGAAGUCAGACUUCAUGAUAGUCGGAUGGGACAAAAGCAAUUGACUGUCUAGAAAAUUCCAUAGGGCACAUAACAAAUAUUUGGCAGCAUAUAGGUUCCUACCGACAUUUUAAGAAAUGCAGUACAUAUGGCACUAUUAUGUUAAAUAGGUCACCCUAAACAAUGCUUUAGAUUAAUCAUGGUCAUGAGCACAAGCAUAAUGACUACUCUACCAAGCAAAAAAUAGGACGUUGUAGAUAUGUGAUUUAAAGUAAAAAAGGAAUAAUUAUCAUGCUUUGCUUUUGUUCCCUGAAUUGGAAUUUUAGAAAGAAAAAUGGAAAUACAAGGCACACACCAUUAAGAAACAGAUGGUCAUAUUCUAAUAUUCACUUCUUUUAGAAAUGAGCAUUUAUCUAAGCUCGAUACCGAGCUAGCCCCUUAUCGUGCAUUCAAGACAAGGGGAUGUACGACAUCAUUUGAAAUUAAAGCAACAUGAAUAGGCACCUGAGAUGAUUCAAUGGAAAAAAGACCACAAGAACUUUUUAUGCAUAACUCUUAGUUCUAAUUCUCAUAUCAGCAAGUGUAGUCCUUAGCUUGAAUUUAUUAUGUCAGCCUGGAAAGAUACACCCAAGAAGAAUUUCUACUUAAUUAUGUGAUGAAAAUAGAGGGGAAUGAGGGGCAAUAUAAAGUAUCGAUUCUAUAUUAGAUGGAUCAACUAAUGCAACCAAUAGUUGUUGUACCUUACAAAUUCAAGCACUGGACUAACAAGAAGUUAAUAUAUAGAUGUGGAAGGUUUCAGAAUUCAGCAAGGGUAAUAAGACCUCGCACAUUUGCUUCUGAGGUGGAGCAGUAGCCGCUACGUCCAUUCGACCGACAAGAUGACGAUGGUCAUGGCAUGUGAGUGUUGUGUAGGGUUUGUACCAUGACUAUAUGGUUGUGCAUCGCCUCUGGCUUGACCUGCCACCAGUAAGACAUAUCAUUUGGAUAUUUAGAUGAUAAAAACAGAAUUGUAGGCAGCAACAUGUUCACCAGUGCACAAUUCCUAGCUUUCAAUACAAAAAAGUUAUCUACCACAGUAUGAUAUGAUGUACUGAUGUAUCCUUGGGCAUAGGAAGAACAUAGCAAAAAUGAAAAUAAAGCACAGUGCUUGACAUUACACUUGAAUGCAGUCAACAAUAAGCCACGCUGUAGUGAACAAGACUUGUUUCAUCUGCAUGAUUGUUAAUGACCACAUGAUGACUUCAUACAGAGAAAAUGGUCAGGUUAAAUGCCAUGAAAACUCAAAAAAAAAAUUGAGUCCGCUUUUUAGGAAACAUGACAGCUUGAAGGGAUUAUGCACAAUUUCAGCAUUUUUAUAACCUCGUGCACACAAGAAACAUAUUCUAGGCAACUGCAUACACCCGCACACAAGCAAUAGAUAACAACCUCUUCCCUAUCGAUCCCAACAAGACGUCCAUGGCACCACUGUAAGGAAUGUGCCCUUCUGCACCUGCAUCACCGGAGCACAACCAGCCCCUUCACCGCUGCUACAUAGCCUCCGACUGAAGCAAAUAGUAAAGAUAUAUUUUUGGUUCAACUGAAGAAAAUAGCAGAAAUGAUGAGUUGGCAAAUUGCAAAAUCAAAGAUAGAUUAUUUCUACUAUUAUUAAAGGUUCGCAUUUCUAGAUUCCACAAACAAACAAAGCAUUGGUUAGUUAUGAUUCUAUCCCAUUAGCUUCACAAUAUAAGCUUGUGUGAGUUAGAAUCGAUCUCAAAUCAGAGAUUACCUGUUUCCUUCCUUCGCUCUGCCCGAGGUUGCCCCACCCACAUCCUAACACCGACGGCAUGGGCGGUCAGACCCGACAGGCAACAUUUUCCCCUCCUCGUUGGAUCCAGCGGCCAGAGAGGCGUGAGAGAGGGGAGCUGCAACAGGAACAACUAAGGGAGGAAGUAGCAGCCGAUGCCACCAAAAGAAGGGGAG
rnacentral:lncRNA from 1 species